GAAACCAGCACGAGGUGCGCGUUGAACA
rnacentral:sRNA from 1 species